rnacentral:rRNA from 1 species
GACGAACCGUGCGAACGUUAUUCGGAAUCACUGGGCUUAAAGCGCGUGUAGGCGGGCCGCCACGUCGGCUGCUGAAAUCCCCCGGCUCAACCGGGGAACGGGCACCGAUACGAGCGGCCUCGAGGGGGGUAGGGGGGUCUGGAACUUCCGGUGGAGCGGUGAAACGCGUUGAGAUCGGAAGGAACGCCCGUGGCGAAAGCGAGGCCCUGGACCCUUACUGACGCUGAGACGCGAAAGCCAGGGGAGCGAACGGG